AUACUUUUUGUGCCCUUACUUUUGAGUCUAUCAGCUGCAACAAGGGCUGGGGGGAACGAGUGCAUAACGCGUGGGAAUCUGCCGAACAGUUCGGGCCAAAUCCUGAAGAAAGCUAAAAAGCGCUGUUUGAUGAGCCUGCGUAGUAUUAGGUAGUUGGUCAGGUAAAGGCAGACAAAGCCAAUGAUGCUUACAUGGUUUUUUCAGAUGAUCAGCCACACUAGGACCGAGACACGGCCCGGACUCCCACUGGGGGAAACAGUGGGGAAUCUUGAACAAUGGGCGAAAGCCCGAUCCAGCAAUAUCGCGUGAGYGAAGAAGGGCAAUGCCGCUUCUAAUGAUCUUUCAUCGAGUGCGCGAUCAUGAAAUGACUUGAGGAAGAAGACCCGACUAACUCUAUUCCAGAAGUCGCGGUAAGACGAGGGGGCAAGUGUUCUUCGGAAUGACUGGGCGUAAAGGGCACGUAGGCGGUGAAUCGGUGUUGCAUGGAUAUCGCCAGCUCGUGUCGUGAGAUGUUUGGUCAAGUCCUUAAACGAGUGAAACCCUCAUUUUGUGUUACUGAGACAUGCGCCUAAGGAUAAUGUCUUUGCAUCCGAAGUGAGACGAGGAGCCGAGUGACGUGUUAGCGCUACUAAUUGGCAUUCAGGCGAGCCACCCGGUGGUGUGUUACAUAGUGGGUUUAGUACGCCCCGCCCAAACAAACGGCUCCGAAACAAACAAAAAGGUGCGUGCCGCACUCACGAAGGACUGCCAGUGAUAUAUUGGAGGAAGGUGGGGAUGACGUCAAGUCCUCAUGGCCCUUAUGGGCUGGGCCACACACGUGCUACAAUGGCAAUUACAAUGGGAAGCAAGGCUGUAAGGCGGAGCGUAUCCGGAAAGAUUGCCUCAGUUUGGAUUUUUCUCUACAACUCGGGAACAUAAAGUUUGAAUUGCUAGUAAUUGCGGAUUAGCAUGCCGUGGUGAAUAUGUGUCCUGGCCCUGUACACACAGCGCGCCACACCCUGGAAAUUGGUUUCACCCGAAGCAUCGGACCAAUGAUCACCCAUGACUUCUAUGGAACACUAGUGCCACAAAAGCCUUUGGUGGUCUUAUUGGCGCAUACCACGGUGGGGUCUUUGACUGGGGUGAAGUCGUAACAAGGUAGCCGUAGGGGAACCUGUGGCUG
rnacentral:rRNA from 1 species